CGGAGGCCACGCCCCCAACGUCCUUCCAGCGCCAAGUCCCGCCUUCCGCAGGCAAACAUCCAGUGAGCUCGGGAAGCCAAGACUAGUCGGGUAACAGCUGAGUGUCUUGGGGCUGCGCCCUGGGAGGAGGCCCCAACAAUAGAGCCCCAGAAGAUGGAGACAAUGGGCUUCUCUGAAGGCCCAGCCGCCCCGCCCAGCACACAGGAGCAGCUGACCCCAGGGCUGCCAGGCACAGGGCAGCUGGGAUCCCUGCUGGCUGUGUGAGAGAGAGCGUGAAGCGAUGCCUGCCCUUCCACCCCAUGGAGAGAUGGAGAGAAUCCAAACAGAUACUCAUGCUGAUUAUUAUUAAAAUAGCACGGAGCAUGUGCUAGGCUCAAUUCUAAAAGCUUUAAGCUCAGUUGAUCCUAGGAACCUAGAAUUUGAUCCAUACCGCAAACCUAGGACUUGAACUAUGGUUAUCCCUGUUUUACAGAUGGGGACUCUAGGGGCACAGAGUAAAGUACUUUGCCCAAAGGCUGGGGAUGCUGGCAGAUAACCAACCUAUAGCCACAAAAAGAAAGAGUUCAUAUUUAAUAAUAACAUGGGGAAAAAGUGCGCACUGGGGUCCAUUGUCUUCGGGAGAGGCGGGCUUCAUCUCAGGGAGCCUGCUCUGUGGUUUGGGAAGUCGUGUGGCUGAGCCUCUUGGUGACAGAACAAAGAUCUGGGGCAGACUGAAUUGGGACCUGAGGCUGAAAGAGCGGGCAAGAGGAUUCGCAGGCCGUGUCCUGUGUGGUUGAGGAGCAAGGUGGCUGGGGAGCCCUGGGACUCGAGAGCACCGUCAAACAUCCACGCUAGCCUGGACCACCUUCUCACACUGCUAUGGCU
ensembl:lncRNA